GGUAACCUGCCUGUAAGACUGGGAUAACUCCGGGAAACCGGGGCUAAUACCGGAUGGUUGUUUGAACCGCAUGGUUCAGACAUAAAAGGUGGCUUCGGCUACCACUUACAGAUGGACCCGCGGCGCAUUAGCUAGUUGGUGAGGUAACGGCUCACCAAGGCGACGAUGCGUAGCCGACCUGAGAGGGUGAUCGGCCACACUGGGACUGAGACACGGCCCAGACUCCUACGGGAGGCAGCAGUAGGGAAUCUUCCGCAAUGGACGAAAGUCUGACGGAGCAACGCCGCGUGAGUGAUGAAGGUUUUCGGAUCGUAAAGCUCUGUUGUUAGGGAAGAACAAGUGCCGUUCAAAUAGGGCGGCACCUUGACGGUACCUAACCAGAAAGCCACGGCUAACUACGUGCCAGCAGCCGCGGUAAUACGUAGGUGGCAAGCGUUGUCCGGAAUUAUUGGGCGUAAAGGGCUCGCAGGCGGUUUCUUAAGUCUGAUGUGAAAGCCCCCGGCUCAACCGGGGAGGGUCAUUGGAAACUGGGGAACUUGAGUGCAGAAGAGGAGAGUGGAAUUCCACGUGUAGCGGUGAAAUGCGUAGAGAUGUGGAGG
rnacentral:rRNA from 1 species